UACGGGGGGGGCAAGCGUUGUUCGGAAUUACUGGGCGUAAAGGGCGCGUAGGCGGCCUGCUAAGUCGGACGUGAAAUCCCUCGGCUCAACCGGGGAACUGCGUCCGAUACUGGUGGGCUCGAAUCCGGGAGAGGGAUGUGGAAUUCCAGGUGUAGCGGUGAAAUGCGUAGAUAUCUGGAGGAACACCGGUGGCGAAGGCGGCAUCCUGGACCGGUAUUGACGCUGAUGCGCGAAAGCGUGGGGAGCGAACAGG
rnacentral:rRNA from 1 species